rnacentral:rRNA from 1 species
UAGGGAAUCUUCGGCAAUGGACGAAAGUCUGACCGAGCAACGCCGCGUGAGUGAAGAAAGUUUUCGGAUCGUAAAACUCUGUUGGUAGAGAAGAACGUUGGUGAGAGUGGAAAGCUCAUCAAGUGACGGUAACUACCCAGAAAGGGACGGCUAACUACGUGCUAG